rnacentral:rRNA from 1 species
AGAAUCAACGCUGGCGGCGUGCCUAACACAUGCAAGUCGAACGAGAAAGUGGAGCAAUCCAUGAGUAAAGUGGCGACCGGGUGAGUAACACGUGACCAAUCUACCCUUGAGUGGGGGAUAACCUCGGGAAACCGGGGCUAAUACCGCAUAAUAUCUCUGGAUCGGAAGAACUGGAGAUCAAAGGAGCAAUUCGCUUAAGGAGGAGGUCGCGGCUGAUUAGCUAGUUGGCGGGGUAAUGGCCCACCAAGGCAAAGAUCGGUAGCCGGCCUGAGAGGGCGCACGGCCACACUGGAACUGAAACACGGUCCAGACUCCUACGGGAGGCAGCAGUGGGGAAUUUUGCGCAAUGGGGGAAACCCUGACGCAGCAACGCCGCGUGGAGGAUGAAGUCCCUUGGGACGUAAACUCCUUUCGACCCGGACGAUAAUGACGGUACGGGUGGAAGAAGCCCCGGCUAACUCGUGCCAGCAGCCGC